rnacentral:rRNA from 1 species
UACAGAGGGUGCAAGCGUUGUUCGGAUUUACUGGGCGUAAAGCGUGCGUAGGCGGCAUUGAGAGUCGCGGGUGAAACCCCCAAGCUUAACUUGGGAACUGCCUGCGAGACCUCAAUGCUAGAGUGUGAGAGGGGAUGGUAGAAUUCCAGGUGUAGCGGUGAAAUGCGUAGAGAUCUGGAGGAAUACCGGUGGCGAAGGCGGCCAUCUGGCUCACAACUGACGCUCAGGCACGAAAGCGUGGGUAGCAAACAGG